UGAUGGAAAAGAUAAGUAAUGUGGCAAAUACGGUCAAUGGAUAAAAUACAUGCUACGAAAUUGUCAAGAGUAUCAAUUGGAGCUUCAACGUCAAAUUGAUGGAACCUUUUCUAAAAGUCAGUCACGAGGAAUUCCAUGAAACGUUGUGAAGCCGCUGCGCUGCUCGACAGUUCACCGGAGAUCAAAGAAAACAUCACUUCUGUUGCAAUUGCUGAAUGUAUGACCACUGAUGAUACGGGAAAAAAGAACGGAACAGCACAAGAAAACAGCGACACAGAAGAGGAGAGCGAUCGUGUUGAAUAUUGAGUAUCGUAGUUCUAAGUUAUCUUCAGUUAUUUUUUUAUUCGAUACCAAGCUAUCUGUAAUUUGUUAAUCUAGAUGUAAUUAAAGACUAGAACCUGGGCAAAAAAGGUUCAACACCCUGUAUUCCUGUUGAAUGUAAGAAAUGAAAUGUUUAUGUUUUAAUAAACGACUCUUUCGGGACUUUUUUCAUUGCACAUUGUAUAUUUUUUCUUAAUAUUAGUUUACAUUUAGCUAACUAAAUGUUCGCUUAAAUUAUUAUUACCAUUAGAGCAACCUUUGGUUUACUAAUAAACAAGAUCAUUACCCAACAGUCACGUGAGUUGAGUACCA